UGGGGAAUAUUGCACAAUGGGCGAAAGCCUGAUGCAGCAACGCCGCGUGAGGGACGACGGCCUUCGGGUUGUAAACCUCUUUUAGCAAGGAUGAAGCGAAAGUGACGGUACUUGCAGAAAAAGCGCCGGCUAACUACGUGCCAGCAGCCGCGGUAAUACGUAGGGCGCAAGCGUUAUCCGGAAUUAUUGGGCGUAAAGAGCUCGUAGGCGGUUUGUCGCGUCUGCUGUGAAAACCCGAGGCUCAACCUCGGGCCUGCAGUGGGUACGGGCAGACUAGAAUGCGGUAGGGGAGAUUGGAACUCCUGGUGUAGCGGUGGAAUGCGCAGAUAUCAGGAAGAACACCGAUGGCGAAGGCAGAUCUCUGGGCCGUAACUGACGCUGAGGAGCGAAAAGGGUGGGGAGCAAAACAGGCUUAGAUACCCUGGUAGUCCACCCCGUAAACGUUGGGAACUAGUUGUGGGGUCCAUUCCACGGAUUCCGUGACGCAGCUAACGCAUUAAGUU
rnacentral:rRNA from 1 species